CCAGACUCCUACGGGAGGCAGCAGUGGGGAAUAUUGCACAAUGGGGGGAACCCUGAUGCAGCAACGCCGCGUGAAGGAAGAAGUAAUUCGUUAUGUAAACUUCUAUCGACAGGGAAGAAAGAAAUGACGGUACCUGAAUAAGAAGCCCCGGCUAAUUACGUGCCAGCAGCCGCGGUAAUACGUAAGGGGCAAGCGUUAUCCGGAUUUACUGGGUGUAAAGGGUGCGUAGGCGGAAUGCCAAGUCAGCGGUAAAAUCGCGGGGCUCAACCUCGCUCCGCCGUUGAAACUGGCGUUCUUGAGUGGGCGAGAAGUAUGCGGAAUGCGUGGUGUAGCGGUGAAAUGCAUAGAUAUCACGCAGAACUCCGAUUGCGAAGGCAGCAUACCGGCGCCCAACUGACGCUGAAGCACGAAAGCGUGGGUAUCGAACAGGAUUAGAUACCCCCGUAA
rnacentral:rRNA from 1 species